AUGCUUCUCCUAAAGACUAAGCCAUGCAUGCCUUCGAAUAAGAGGAAGCAAUUCUCUCCGAAUCUGCGAACGGCUCCGCAAACCAGUUGUAAACUAUAGCAAGCAUGCUUGUGGCCGCCUUCGGGUGGCUGCGGGCGAUACGGAUAACCCUGGUAAUUCUGAGGCUAAUACGCGACCGUACAACCUGGCAGACCGGCUUCGGCUGGGAAACCGGGGGACGUGUGAUACAGGCUUGGUUUAACCGGGAAGGGGUGCACGUUCAGACCGCGCUAUAAAGGCCCAGACCCUUGCGGACUGGUCCCAGCGGCCUUUGCUGUGUGCUUCUGACCUAUCAACUAGACGGCAGCGCAAGGGACAUGCUAUGGUGACAACGGGUACAGAGGAUUAGGGUUCGAUCCUGGAGAGUGGGCCUGAGAGAUUGCUCAUACUUCUAAGGAAGGCAGCAGGCGCGCAACGUUCCCCUUGGGCAAUGCCCGAGGGCGUUAGGGGACAUAUGAAUGCCUGCCCAAUGGGUUGGCAAUUCAAAUGGGUCUGUUCUAAACAGGCUCU
rnacentral:rRNA from 1 species